UGAGUAACCUGCCCUUCACUCUGGGAUAACUCCGGGAAACCGGGCUAAUACUGGAUAUGACUCGAACAGGCAUCUGUUUCGGGUGGAAAGAUUUAUUGGUGGAGGAUGGACUCGCGGCCUAUCAGCUUGUUGGUGAGGUAAUGGCUCACCAAGGCGACGACGGGUAGCCGGCCUGAGAGGGCGAUCGGCCACACUGGGGCUGAGAUACGGCCCAGACUCCUACGGGAGCA
rnacentral:rRNA from 1 species